GCGGUGCUGGCGGUUCCCACCACGAUGGUACCGUUGUUGUCGGAGGACUGGAGGGUAUUCUCGUCUUCUUGCGUCCCGAUGAGACUCAGCAUGGCUUUGUACAGGAACUGGUACUGCUCCUGGAAAACGACGACAGGUUGAGGAGCUCGAAGGUGUUGCUGAUGGGACUGUCUGGAUUCGGCCAUUGGGGGGCGCGGUAGUGUUUCACCUCCAGAACGUAGUCAUCCUGUCGAGGCAAGGAGGGAAGAGAGCAGAUGUCUGUCACAACAAAUCAGUGCGAGGUUAACGAUGUGGGGACUUGGUGGAGAUGGUUGUGGAUUUAAGAAAGAACGCUGCCCCAUCACCCUGUAUGACUUCCCAGUCGACACCGGAGUCCUGCGCUUACUCAAUAAAAAGCACAGCAUUUACUUCCUGCGGCAUUUUAAAUUCAACCUGCCAAAGACAGCAGUGCGAGAAGAAUGCCAACAGGAUUAUCAGAGACCCCAACCAACCCAGUCGCAAACUGUUCUGCCUGUUGCUGUCCGGCA